rnacentral:rRNA from 1 species
UACAGAGGUCUCAACCGUUGUUCGGAUUCAUUGGGCGUAAAGGGUGCGUAGGCGGUCGCGCAAGUCGGUUGUGAAAUCUCAGGGCUCAACCCUGAAACUGCAUUCGAUACUGCGUGGCUAGAGUGCUGGAGAGGAGACUGGAAUUUACGGUGUAGCAGUGAAAUGCGUAGAUAUCGUAAGGAAGACCAGUGGCGAAGGCGAGUCUCUGGACAGCAACUGACGCUGAGGCACGAAGGCCAGGGGAGCAAACGGG